rnacentral:snoRNA from 9 species
GCUUUACGGAGGGAAAGCGGCCUGGGGUCGGGGAGUGUGUAUUGUGCUGUGGUGUUGUGUGGAAGGCGCGUGCUGGCCGAGCGUGUGAGUGGACGGGCGCAUGUGUGAGUGCGAGCGUGGGGCGUGCAAGGCGAGUGCGCGUGCCCGCCCCUGCGCCCUUCCCCCCGCCUACACCUUGAUCUUAUUUGAUCGGGUUGUGACCCCAGCCCUGCCGGGCCGACCCGAAAUGAGAAGCUCCCCUCCUGCGAAGCCCACUCCUCGGGGCGCUGUGCAGCGAGGCCCCCUAGGCGGCGGCAUCGCCGCGGCCCUGAAGGUCCCGGAGCCGGUCCUACGGGGCCCGGCGCUCAGAAGUGAUGAAUUGAUCAGAUAGACGAGCCCGGGCUUGUCCCAGGCCGCUGAUUAUCGAGCGAUUCUGAUCUGA